GUCUUCUUGAAUAUAUAAGAAGUCUGACCUGCCCGGUGAAUAAGUAUUUAACGGCCGCGGUAUUUUGACCGUGCAAAGGUAGCAUAAUCAUUAGUCUUUUAAUAGAGGGCUGGAAUGAAGGGUUUGACGAAAUGCUUACUGUCUCAUUUAAUUUGAAAUUUGAAAUUGACUUUUUAGUUAAAAGGCUAAACUGUUAUUGGAAGACGAGAAGACCCUAUAGAGCUUUAUACUUAAAAAUUUAAGAAAUUUUUGAUUAAUUAUUAUUUUUUAAAUUGGGGAGUAUUUUGUUGGGGUGACGAAAAUAUAUAAUAAACUUUUUUAUUUAAAUAACAUUGAUAUAUGAAUAUUAGAUCCAUUAUUAGUGAUUGUUAGAGAAAGUUACCUUAGGGAUAACAGCGUAAUCUUCCUCCAGAGUUCAAAUUUACAGGAAGGCUUGCGACCUCGAUGUUGGAUUAAGAUAAUAAUUAGGUGUAGCCGCUUAAUUAAUAGGUCUGUUCGACCUUUAAAUUCUU
rnacentral:rRNA from 1 species